rnacentral:rRNA from 1 species
UCUGGAAACUNUCUGACUUGAGUGCAGAAGGGGAGAGUGGAAUUCCAUGUGUAGCGGUGAAAUGCGUAGAUAUAUGGAGGAACACCAGUGGCGAAAGCGGCUCUCUGGUCUGUCACUGACGCUGAGGCUCGAAAGCGUGGGUAGCGAACAGGAUUAGAUACCCUGGUAGUCCACGCCGUAAGCGAUGAGUGCUAGGUGUUAGGCCCUUUCCGGGGCUUAGUGCCGGAGCUAACGCAAUAAGCACUCCGCCUGGGGAGUACGACCGCAAGGUUGAAACUCAAAGGAAUUGACGGGGGCCCGCACAAGCGGUGGAGCAUGUGGUUUAAUUCGAAGCAACGCGAAGAACCUUACCAGGUCUUGACAUCCCGAUGCUAUUCUUAGAGAUAGGAAGUUACUUCGGUACAUCGGAGACAGGUGGUGCAUGGUUGUCGUCAGCUCGUGUCGUGAGAUGUUGGGUUAAGUCCCGCAACGAGCGCAACCCUUAUUGUUAGUUGCCAUCAUUAAGUUGGGCACUCUAGCGAGACUGCCGGUAAUAAACCGGAGGAAGGUGGGGAUGACGUCAAAUCAUCAUGCCCCUUAUGACCUGGGCUACACACGUGCUACAAUGGUCGGUACAACGAGUUGCGAGCCGGUGACGGCAAGCUAAUCUCUGAAAGCCGAUCUCAGUUCGGAUUGGAGGCUGCAACUCGCCUCCAUGAAGUCGGAAUCGCUAGUAAUCGCGGAUCAGCACGCCGCGGUGAAUACGUUCCCGGGCCUUGUACACACCGCCCGUCACACCACGAGAGUUUGUAACACCCGAAGUCGGUGAGGUANCCUUUUAGGG